GCUGUGGUAACAGGAAAAGAUCUGACUUCUACAAACACCUUUUGCAUCCCUAAAGAUGAAGAAACUCCUUACAAUGGCCUUUGACCAUUCACAUUCACGAGAACUUAAGUGUGUAUAGCCCAGUAAUGCUGAACUCAUUCUGCUGCACCAGAGCCUCUCACAAGAGAGAAUGAGUCUUAUUCUCUGAGAAGGCUGAUUAAUGUCUCUGAUGAAAGAAUGGAGAAGAAAUAUAGGAACAGAGAUCCUCCCAAGAUGCCUAUAAGUAAAGGUGCAGAACCAAGGAGCCAGAGGACUUCAGGAGCAGUAGAAGCAGGCUGUUCAGUUGCAAAUGGAAGGGACAUGGUAUGUAAAAGCCCCCAGGCUUUUGUUGAUGCUUGAGAAAAUCAAAGGACAGCACAUGGAAAUGAGAAUGUAGUAAAGAACAGCUAUCAUAUUCACACCUCUUAAACUGUGUUUUUGUAUUUCUUUAGAUGGAGAUAUUUUUAAGGUUAUUCACAGAAAAACAUUAGUAAAAGAAAACCUUUGUGCAAAAGUAAUAAUUUAGCUGCAGAUUACAGUGCUUUUACACAAAUUAUUUUCUU